ensembl:lncRNA
AUGAUCUUUUAUCAGAUGCACAUGUUGUAUCUGACUCAAAAGAAGUGAGUAAUGAAGAGAAAUCAGAAAAGGAGAAGAAAAAUAAGUUGGAAGAAACACGUGAUGGUGAUAUAAGCUUGCAGAACAUGACCACAGUUGCAAACCACAAACCCAAAACCAGCUCAGAAGAAAGUGAAGUAGUUAGUGCUCAAGAACAAGAAGGAAUUAUGUCUUCAUUUGAAUUAGCAGCACAGUCUUCAAAAGGAAAUAAGGCAACAGCAGUGAAAAGUCUGCCUUCUUCACCAGAACCAUCACUGUCACCAGCUCCAUCUACACAGACACAGCUCACAGAAGGAUCACAUUUCAUGUGUGUAUAGUUACAGAGAACACUAAUGGCUUCUGUUGAAACAAUUCAUGCCUCUGAUGUAUGGACCUGGCCUAUGAAAAUAUGAGAAGAUAUUGUACAGUAUAUUUUAAAUCUAUGAAAUUCAUAGUUCUGAUGCUUUUGGCCACAGAGCAUCAUUUUAUCACUUCCUGGAAAAUGUUUAUUCCAAGAGAGCUUUAAAUGGCCCACAAGUACACUCAACAACCUUCAGAUUGUUCUCCUGAUACCAGCUUGCUGCUAUGAUUUCCGUGCACAUAAAAUAAAGGCUCUUUUAAUGUGCAGCCUACAGUCAGAACUUUAUUUGAUAUUCUCCAGAAUUUAAUGUUCUUUUAAUUAUGGAUCAUAUAAGUUUACUUUUUUGCUUCUUUUAGAUGCAUAAGUCAGUUAAUUUUACAUAUCACCACUAAACCUUGUUUUACACUUUUUAAAUAUUACAAUUUAUUGUUUUAACAUUUUAUUUGUAAAAUUUUUAUAUAUAUAUACAUAUAGAUAUAUUUAAAAUGUGCCAUUUUUUAUUAUUGCUUAGUAAAAUAUGUCCUGUUUCUGCUGUAAUUAUUUCUUGGUCAGGUUGCAAUGUCAGCAGUUACUGCCACACCUCUGUCAACAUAUGCAUUAAUGUUAGUGGUUACUUUUUCUUCAAUAAAAUGGAGUGUAGGUAUUUUGAGGUACUGGGCUUUUCCUUCAUUGGGUUAGGGUGUGUAUAGCAAUAAGCAGGUUUUCAAUCCAGUACUUAGUUUGUGUACAAAUGUAAUUAUGUUCAUUGUGUAUAUAUUAUACAAUGAGCAAAUACAAUGUAAGUAUAAGAAGCCACUUAUUGUUCAGAUACGACUGUUCAUAUCCCAUUUCUUUUAUAUCAUAAUAAAUAAAUGUUGAUGUUCUUAAGGACUUGUAUGGUUAGUAUUUCUUCCAGCAAACAGAUGUCACACUGUGUUCACCUUUUGAUGUGGGGAAUGCAACAAUUCUUGUCUCAUUGGCGACAUCACCUGUCAACCAGAGUAGCAGUGACAGACUCUUAAGAGAUUCCAGUCUUCCUCUACAGGAAAGAAUAAGGCUGCAACACAGAACAAAAGGACAACCUGAGACUGAACCACAAGAAAUACAGGUUCAGCUCCUGGCUCUUGCAGACUUGUAUCGUGAUGUUGGAAUAAUCACUUAGUCAUUCUGUACCUUCAUUCCUUGCCUGUUUACUUGAGUGGUAAUAGCCUGUCU